UACGUAGGGACCAAGCGUUGUUCGGAUUUACUGGGCGUAAAGGGCGCGUAGGCGGCUUAACAAGUCACUUGUGAAAUCUCCGGGCUUAACUCGGAACGGCCAAGUGAAACUGUCAAGCUAGAGUGCGGAGGGGGCAAUCGGAAUUCUUGGUGUAGCGGUGAAAUGCGUAGAUAUCAAGAGGAACACCUGAGGUGAAGACGGGUUGCUGGGCCGACACUGACGCUGAUGCGCGAAAGCCAGGGGAGCAAACGGG
rnacentral:rRNA from 1 species